AGAACGAACGCUGGCGGCAUGCCUAACACAUGCAAGUCGAACGAGACCUUCGGGUCUAGUGGCGCACGGGUGCGUAACGCGUGGGAAUCUGCCCUUGGGUUCGGGAUAACAGUUGGAAACGACUGCUAAUACCGGAUGAUGUCUUCGGACCAAAGAUUUAUCGCCCAAGGAUGAGCCCGCGUAGGAUUAGCUUGUUGGUGAGGUAAGAGCUCACCGAAGGCGACGAUCCUUAGCUGGUCUGAGAGGAUGAUCAGCCACACGUGGGACUGAGACCACGGCCCAGAACUCCGUACGGGAGGCAGCGAGGUGGGGAAUAGUUAGGACUAAGUCGGGACGAAAGCCUGACUCCGAGCAAUCGCCGCGUGAGUGA
rnacentral:rRNA from 1 species